UUGGAGGGCAAGUCUGGUGCCAGCAGCCGCGGUAAUUCCAGCUCCAAUAGCGUAUAUUAAAGUUGUUGCAGUUAAAAAGCUCGUAGUUGAAUUUCGGGAUCAAUUUGCUGGUCGUGCCUCUGGUACGUACUGGUAUUAUUGGUCUCUCCCUUCUGACGAACCAUGAUGUCAUUAAUUUGAUGUCGUGGAGAAUCAGGACUGUUACUUUGAAAAAAUUAGAGUGUUUAAAGCAGGCAUUAGCUUGAAUACAUUAGCAUGGAAUAAUGAAAUAGGACGUUUGAUCCUAUUUUGUUGGUUUCUAGGAUUGACGUAAUGAUUAAUAGGGAUAGUUGGGGGCAUUAGUAUUCAAUUGUCAGAGGUGAAAUUCUUGGAUUUAUUGAAGACUAACUACUGCGAAAGCAUUUGCCAAGGAUGUUUUCAUUAAUCAAGAACGAAAGUUAGGGGAUCGAAGACGAUCAGAUACCGUCGUAGUCUUAACCAUAAACUAUGCCGACUAGGGAUCGGAUGAUGUUAAUUUUUUAAUGACUCAUUCGGCGCCUUACGGGAAACCAAAGUGUUUGGGUUC
rnacentral:rRNA from 1 species